UGCAGUCGAGCGGAACGAGAAUAGCUUGCUAUUCGGCGUCGAGCGGCGGACGGGUGAGUAAUGCUUGGGAAUAUGCCUUUGAGUGGGGGACAACAGUUGGAAACGACUGCUAAUACCGCAUAACGUCUACGGACCAAAGGGGGGGACGCUUCGGCACCUCUCGCUCAUUGAUUAGCCCAAGUGAGAUUAGCUAGUUGGUAAGGUAAUGGCUUACCAAGGCGACGAUCUCUAGCUGGUUUGAGAGGAUGAUCAGCCACACUGGGACUGAGACACGGCCCAGACUCCUACGGGAGGCAGCAGUGGGGAAUAUUGCACAAUGGGCGAAAGCCUGAUGCAGCCAUGCCGCGUGUGUGAAGAAGGCCUUCGGGUUGUAAAGCACUUUCAGCGAGGAGGAAAGGUUAGUAGUUAAUAACUGCUAGCUGUGACGUUACUCGCAGAAGAAGCACCGGCUAACUUCGUGCCAGCACC
rnacentral:rRNA from 1 species